AGGCGAAGGCGGUUAAGAAGCCUUAACAAAAGGAUUGGACCACGAAAAGCACACGCUAUGGACAUGUUUCGAUAGCUGAGGAUGAUGACCGUUAUCACGCCCAAAGAACAGCAAUGAUAUGCGAAUACUACGGAACGCGUCGUGUCCCGCGCUCUCUCUGGGUGAACAAUAGAACCUCGGCCUGGUGCACACCAAUGUGCAGUGGAUCAAAGUGGAUCUUUUCAACUCCUCUGUAUUCGCCUGGAAGCAACCAUUGGGGAGAUGCAACCUAAACAAAUCGCCACGGGGCAAGACACGCGCACAGCCCUUGAGGCAUCUGAACAGCAUGGAAAUUGGAAAUUGACAAUAAAGCUGAUCUUUUGUACUGUG